GAUGAACGCUGGCGGCGUGCCUAAUACAUGCAAGUCGAGCGAACGGACGAGAAGCUUGCUUCUCUGAUGUUAGCGGCGGACGUGUUAGUAACACGUGGAUAACCUACCUAUAAGACUGUGAUAACUUCGGGAAACCGGAGCUCAUACCGGAUAAUAUUUUGAACCGCAGGGUGCAAAAGUGAAAGACGUUCUUGCUGUCGCUUAUAGAUGGAUCCGCGCUGCAUUAGCUAGUUGGUAAGGUAACGGCUUACCAAGGCAACGAUGCAUAGCCGACCUGAGAGGGUGAUCGGCCACACUGGAACUGAGACACGGUCCAGACUCCUACGGGAGGCAGCAGUAGGGAAUCUUCCGCAAUGGGCGAAAGCCUGACGGAGCAACGCCGCGUGAGGGAUGAAGGUCUUCGGAUCGUAAAACUCUGUUAUUAGGGAAGAACAUAUGUGUAAGUAACUGUGCACAUAUUGACGGUACCUAAUCAGAAAGCCACGGCUAACUACGUG
rnacentral:rRNA from 1 species